AAUUAUGGUGGGGCGUAAUGGGGGAGCCUUCGGGCUCGCCGGUUCCUUGGAUGCCGGUCUGCUAACCCUGUUACGUCUCACCACCCUG
rfam:Dickeya dadantii 3937, complete genome.